GGAGAUAUACCUCAGUGGUAGAGUGGGUGCUUAGCAUGCACAAAGUCCUAGAUUCAAACCCCAGUGCCUCUG
rnacentral:tRNA from 1 species